GGAAAUUAAAGCACAGAAAGAUGAAGUUGUUUAUUUGAGGUCAGCCAGCAGAGCAGCCACAGAGAGAAAAAUAGAAUGGAGUCCUUCAGUGCUCACUCUGUUGCAUCACUCUGUCUUUCUAUUUUGAUGAAAAGGUCUGAAAUUUAAUUUUCAUAGAAUUAUGCUGAUUCAUAACCAAGUGGAGGCAGUUCCUGCUGCUCUGUAGCAACUUUACUAUCUGUUGUAAUCACAGAAUCACAGAUGGAUAUGGUGAACCGGCCUUGUACCCCCUCUUCUUCCACCCCUCCCUCCACAGUUUAUCAUUCUAGUCUGCUGUUCGUGCAAUCCACCCCCACUAAAAACUUUUCAAGAUGUUACAAUCUUCAUGAAAAACUAUACAACCAUUUGGAAAUGGCCACACUAGAUCAUUCUUUUUUAAAAAAUGUUAUUAUUAUUAUUUUUCAGAAGCUUGAGAUAUAUUAACAAUAUACUUCAUCUUUUUAUUGUUUUUCUAAGGACAACAUAUGAAAUUCAGUGCUAAUUGUGUUUCCUAUCUUAUUAUGUAUAUGUGAGAAACUGAAAUCACAUUCUUACAGCUGAGAAGACAAGAAUUAGAGACAUGACUGUCCCUCAAGGUUCCCUCUAUUAGUCUGGGUUUAUUGCUUGAUGACUUCAUUUAUUAUGUGCAGUAUGGUGAUAAAAUUUGUACCCCCACAUCCUGUAUCUGUUUUAUCUAUUUAGAUUAGAAGCACUUGUGGCCAAACACAGUUUCUUACUGGGCAAUUAUGUGUCACUACAAACAAGGACACCAGAGCUCUCUUCCACUUUGUGGGCACAAUGCCAGUACAAAAACAACAAAAACAAACAAACAAACAAACAAAAAUCACCAUCAGCAACAUCGUCUUCAUUGCAUUACUGACUUGUGGUUUACCAGAGAAAUGUGCUAGGGGAGGCUACCAAAAGCAGUCUUUCUAAAAUGUAAGUUUUGUAAAAGCCUUAAGCCUGAAUUCAAUAAACGCUAAAAACAAAAGUAGAAAAUGAAUGUUCCAAUUGGUCUAUGCAGAAUCAAAGUGCUGUGCAGUUACUUUUACAUUUACUCAUUAUUUUAUCAAUUAAAAAAUAUUUAAAAGAUCAAGAUAAUUUUUGGGACUAUUAAAAAACCCUAAUGCAAAUAACACGAUCUUUGUGUUAAUGAUUUUAGAGAAGGAUUAUUAGUAGGUAAUUAAAUGAAUGACCAGAGGAAACCAUUAUUGCACUGUCUGAAAAUGUCAAACUCUGAAAGAAGUAUACAGCCUAAGGAAAAUGGUGAAAAUUUAAGAUAAAUACUGCUAAAAUCUGUCCUGGACAGAUAUUGCACUGGACAAGGAGAUAAUAUAACAGUCUGUGCAGGCUGCAAGAUGCCCCCUGGUGUUA